rnacentral:rRNA from 1 species
AACGCGAAGAACCUUACCUGGGCUUGACAUGUUCCCGACGGUCGUAGAGAUACGGCUUCCCUUCGGGGCGGGUUCACAGGUGGUGCAUGGUCGUCGUCAGCUCGUGUCGUGAGAUGUUGGGUUAAGUCCCGCAACGAGCGCAACCCUCGCCCCGUGUUGCCAGCGGAUUAUGCCGGGAACUCACGGGGGACCGCCGGGGUUAACUCGGAGGAAGGUGGGGAUGACGUCAGAUCAUCAUGCCCCUUACGUCCAGGGCUUCACGCAUGCUACAAUGGCCGGUACAACGGGAUGCGACGCGGCGACGCGGAGCGGAUCCCUGAAAACCGGUCUCAGUUCGGAUCGCAGUCUGCAACUCGACUGCGUGAAGGCGGAGUCGCUAGUAAUCGCGAAUCAG